ACGUCAAGUCAUCAUGGCCCUUACGACUAGGGCUACACACGUGCUACAAUGGCGCAUACAAAGAGAAGCGACCUCGCGAGAGCAAGCGGACCUCAUAAAGUGCGUCGUAGUCCGGAUUGGAGUCUGCAACUCGACUCCAUGAAGUCGGAAUCGCUAGUAAUCGUGGAUCAGAAUGCCACGGUGAAUACGUUCCCGGGCCUUGUACACACCGCCCGUCACACCAUGGGAGUGGGUUGCAAAAGAAGUAGGUGGCUUAACCUUCGGGAGGGCGCUUACCACUUUGUGAUUCAUGACUGGGGUGAAGUCGUAACAAGGUAACCGUAGGGGAACCUGCGGUUGGAUCACCUCCUUACCUUAAAGAAGC
rnacentral:rRNA from 1 species